AUUGAACGCUGGCGGCAUGCCUUACACAUGCAAGUCGAACGGUAACAGGUCUUCGGAUGCUGACGAGUGGCGAACGGGUGAGUAAUACAUCGGAACGUGCCCAGACGUGGGAGAUAACGAGGCGAAAGCUUUGCUAAUACCGCAUACGAUCUAAGGAUGAAAGCAGGGGACCGCAAGGCCUUGCGCGUUUGGAGCGGCCGAUGGCAGAUUAGGUAGUUGGUGGGAUAAAAGCUUACCAAGCCGACGAUCUGUAGCUGGUCUGAGAGGACGACCAGCCACACUGGGACUGAGACACGGCCCAGACUCCUACGGGAGGCAGCAGUGGGGAAUUUUGGACAAUGGGCGAAAGCCUGAUCCAGCAAUGCCGCGUGCAGGAUGAAGGCCUUCUGGUUGUAAACUGCUUUUGUACGGAACGAAAAGGCUCUGGCUAAUACCUGGGGCACAUGACGGUACCGUAAGAAUAAGCACCGGCUAACUACGUG
rnacentral:rRNA from 1 species